rnacentral:misc_RNA from 1 species
CAGGACCCGCAAGACUCCCGUAAACCACUGUGAACUUACCUACAACCCGUUGCCUCGGCGGGUGCUCCGGGCGCGUCUUCGGGCGCUCCGGGGCGCUCCAGCCCGCCGGCGGCCCCUAAACUCUGUCUCUGUAACGUUGGCAUCUCCGAGCAGACUAUAAACGAGUCA